CUGACAAAUUCUUUAAAAAUGCCCUGCUUAGAAACACUAGUCACUAGACAUGCAAUUAUUGUUUACCUACGUCUGCGGAUCUGUAGAAUUCAGUAUAGAACACUAUACAUUUAUCGAGUAAUCUGUAGUAUUACAUAUUAAUUGUUUCAGUGUGGGUAUUAAAUUGGGAAAUUCGAAAUAUAUAAUAUACAAUAGCUUCGGGUUUCAGGAACUUUACGAUACUUCACGUAUUUAUAGGACACAGUCUUUAAAAUAUGCGGAUGGUAUUACGAGAAGUACAGUUUUUACUAGUUUUGAAUGUAUAAAUUUAUGCUAUUUUACUCACAUGUUGCUCGUACUGCGUAACAUUUUCUCUUUGUCCCACAGUCGCCAGAAGUCAACAGCACGUUCCCCUCUUUGUGUACGUACACGAACGACUAGUUUCUAUUUUCUUCCUAUUUUCGUGCUCGAUAAUAAAUCUCUCCUGCAUUUUUCUUUCCCUCUCAGAUCUUUUUUCUUUUUUAAACAUCCCCUGUACAUCUCUCUCGCUCUUUCUUGUUGAAUUAUUUUUCGUCUUUUACGACGAAUUCCUCGAUCGUGUUCGGCCUGGAAAGCCGACCUAGCUUCGAAAGUAUAUGCUCGCUCUGUCUCGCUGGUUGCACUGAGAUUUCUCCCAGAUCGUGACGUAUCCCACCAUUAGCAAGUGCGCCACUCGCUGUGUGGAAUGUCGUGUUAAAAUGCGCCAUUUCAACCGACUUUACGUAAGCUCAUACGACCAGACGAAACAGAGAAAAAGCAUAUUAUUUCUUGAGAUUUGCCGUCCUUGCUAGCUGAUGAUCAAGUGCAAAUUCCCGCGCGCGCGCUUUGUUUACAUAUUGCUGCACAAAUAUUAC